AUGCAAGUCGAGCGGAACGAUGGUAGCUUGCUACCAGGCGUCGAGCGGCGGACGGGUGAGUAACGCGUGAGAAUCUGCCCAUUUGUGGGGGAUAACUCGGGGAAACUCGAGCUAAUACCGCAUAAUCCCUACGGGGGAAAGCAGGGGACCUUCGGGCCUUGUGCAGAUGGAUGAGCUCGCGUCGGAUUAGCUUGUUGGUGAGGUAAAGGCUCACCAAGGCGACGAUCCGUAGCUGGUCUGAGAGGAUGAUCAGCCACACCGGGACUGAGACACGGCCCGGACUCCUACGGGAGGCAGCAGUGGGGAAUCUUGGACAAUGGGGGUAACCCUGAUCCAGCCAUGCCGCGUGUGUGAAGAAGGCCUUCGGGCUGUAAAGCACUUUCAGUAGGGAGGAAGGCUUACCGCUAAUAACGGUGAGUACUUGACGUUACCUACAGAAGAAGCACCGGCUAAUUUCGUGCCAGCAGCCGCGGUAAUACGAAAGGUGCGAGCGUUAAUCGGAAUUACUGGGCGUAAGGCGCGCGUAGGCGGUUUGUUAAGUCAGAUGUGAAAGCCCCGGGCUCAACCUGGGAAUUGCAUUUGAAACUGGCAGGCUAGAGUGCAGUAGAGGGAGGUGGAAUUUCCGGUGUAGCGGUGAAAUGCGUAGAGAUCGGAAGGAACACCAGUGGCGAAGGCGGCCUCCUGGACUGACACUGACGCUGAGGUGCGAAAGCGUGGGGAGCAAACAGGAUUAGAUACCCUGGUAGUCCACGCCGUAAACGAUGUCUACUAGUCGUUGGGAAUCUUAGUAUUCUUGGUGACGAAGUUAACGCGAUAAGUAGACCGCCUGGGGAGUACGGCCGCAAGGUUAAAACUCAAAUGAAUUGACGGGGGCCCGCACAAGCGGUGAGCAUGUGAUUUAAUUCGAUGCAACGCGAAGAACCUUACCAGGCCUUGACAUCCUUGUACUUUCUAGAGAUAGAUUGUGCCUUCGGGAGCCAAGUGACAGUGCUGCAUGCCUGUCGUCAGCUCGUGUCGUGAGAUGUUGGGUAAGUCCCGUAACGAGCGCAACCCUUGUCCCUAGUUGCCAGCACUUCGGUGGGAAA
rnacentral:rRNA from 1 species